CUGGCGGCCGCCGUGCAGCCGGCAGUGCCCUUCUCCACCAGCCGCACGUCGUCCCUUACCCCAAGGACGGCGGCCACCCUCCAGGCGUCGGGACGUCUUCUUCUUCACCAGGAUCUCGUUCGCUCGUCCCACUCUUCUGGUCGUGGCAAGGCUCUCAGGUGGAGAGACUCCAGCCCUUCGUCGGAUUCGUUGGAUGUUGGGAGCCCUUCAUCGUUCAAGGAUAUCCUGCUCGCGGGAACGGUCUCGGCCUCAGCCUCAGUCUCGGUGACGUCUGGGGACAUAGUUUCCCAUGGCGCCUAG
rnacentral:misc_RNA from 1 species